rnacentral:rRNA from 1 species
UACGGAGGGAGCUGGCGUUGUUCGGAAUUACUGGGCGUAAAGCGUGCGUAGGCGGUUAUUCAAGUCAGAGGUGAAAGCCCGGGGCUCAACCCCGGAACGGCCUUUGAAACUAGGUAACUAGAAUCUUGGAGAGGUUAGUGGAAUUCCGAGUGUAGAGGUGAAAUUCGUAGAUAUUCGGAAGAACACCAGUGGCGAAGGCGACUAACUGGACAAGUAUUGACGCUGAGGUACGAAAGCGUGGGGAGCAAACAGG